CGUCUAUAUACGUAUAGCAUAUCAAUAAGCGGAGGAAAAGAAACUAACAAGGAUUCCCUUAGUAACGGCGAGUGAAGCGGGAAGAGCUCAAAUUUGAAAUCUUCAAGGUUCUACCUUGACGAAUUGUAGUUUAAAGAAGUGUUUUCUGUUAGAGGAGUAGCAAAAGUUCCUUGGAAUGGGACAUCAUAGAGGGUGAGAAUCCCGUAUUUGGUUACUUCUUUCUAGCUUUGUGAUACACUUUCAAAGAGUCGGAUUGUUUGGGAAUGCAGUCCAAAAUGUGUGGUAAAUUUCAUCUAAAGCUAAAUAUUGGCGAGAGACCGAUAGCGAACAAGUACCGUGAGGGAAAGAUGAAAAGAACUUUGAAAAGAGAGUUAAACAGUACGUGAAAUUGUCAAAAGGGAAGCGUUUGACACCAGUGUUGUUUUUCCGAAAAUCAAUUAAGAGUGGCUUGAUUUUGUGUUGUAUUGACCUUAUCAGCUUUCUUCACUCUUUUUCGAGUCUUUCUUAAUGCACUUUUCGGUUAACAAGUCAACAUCAAUUUCUUUUGUUGUAAAAGAGUAUUUGGAAGGUGGCUUUCUUUUCGGAGAAAGUGUUUAUAGCCUUAUACCUCUACAAUCGGAGAGAUUGAGGUCUGCAGCGUAGAUCCUUCGGGGCUAGAUACACUUGUGCUAAGUUAUAGCUUUUCAUAGACAACUUGUUGACUAUGUUUAGUCAUGUAGCUUACCCGCUUGUGCUAUUUUACCUACGCUUAGGAUGUUGAGUCAUCACACAUCUCU
rnacentral:rRNA from 1 species